UCUUGGGUAGAUAUACGAAGUACAGAACCUGUAUCAAGCCAAAUUGAGGGUGCACUGUGGUACUUGCAAAGUCCCUACAAAGAUGGUUUUAUUCAAUGUUGCUUUUUUUGGAACGGGAAAUUUUGCAAGUAUUGCCAGUUUUGAGAUUUCAUCUGUAUAUCGGUUCAUUACCAUCUUUAGUCCCUUCCUGAUGGCAGCGUUACUCAUCUUCAAGUUAUUUAUACCCUUCAUGCUUGUAAUGUAAGUGAAUUAGCAAGUUUACUGAUUACUUCUUGGAGACUUGGUUUACCUACAAGCAAUGAUACCUGACAUACAGACUUCUAAAGCUGUAGAUUUUCAUAUGAUUGCUUAUCACCAUUAUUAUUGUAAAAAUAAAAUGCCAAGAAUUCUGCCCAAGAUAGAUUUAUAUAUCCACCUAAGGACUGGUUUUUAGUUGUUA